UGCUCCUGGAUUAGUGGCGAACGGGUGAGUAACACGUGAGUAACCUGCCCUUAACUCUGGGAUAAGCCUGGGAAACUGGGUCUAAUACCGGAUAUGACUCCUCAUCGCAUGGUGGGGGGUGGAAAGCUUUUUGUGGUUUUGGAUGGACUCGCGGCCUAUCAGCUUGUUGGUGAGGUAAUGGCUUACCAAGGCGACGACGGGUAGCCGGCCUGAGAGGGUGACCGGCCACACUGGGACUGAGACACGGCCCAGACUCCUACGGGAGGCAGCAGUGGGGAAUAUUGCACAAUGGGCGCAAGCCUGAUGCAGCGACGCCGCGUGAGGGAUGACGGCCUUCGGGUUGUAAACCUCUUUCAGUAGGGAAGAAGCGAAAGUGACGGUACCUGCAGAAGAAGCGCCGGCUAACUACGUGCCAGCAGCCGCGGUAAUACGUAGGGCGCAAGCGUUAUCCGGAAUUAUUGGGCGUAAAGAGCUCGUAGGCGGUUUGUCGCGUCUGCCGUGAAAGUCCGGGGCUCAACUCCGGAUCUGCGGUGGGUACGGGCAGACUAGAGUGAUGUAGGGGAGACUGGAAUUCCUGGUGUAGCGGUGAAAUGCGCAGAUAUCAGGAGGAACACCGAUGGCGAAGGCAGGUCUCUGGGCAUUAACUGACGCUGAGGAGCGAAAGCAUGGGGAGCGAACAGGAUUAGAUACCCUGGUAGUCCAUGCCGUAAACGUUGGGCACUAGGUGUGGGGGACAUUCCACGUUUUCCGCGCCGUAGCUAACGCAUUAAGUGCCCCGCCUGGGGAGUACGGCCGCAAGG
rnacentral:rRNA from 1 species